rnacentral:rRNA from 1 species
AGAGUUUGAUCCUGGCUCAGAUUGAACGCUGGCGGCAUGCCUUACACAUGCAAGUCGAACGGCAGCGCGGGAGCAAUCCUGGCGGCGAGUGGCGAACGGGUGAGUAAUACAUCGGAACGUGCCCAAUCGUGGGGGAUAACGCAGCGAAAGCUGUGCUAAUACCGCAUACGAUCUACGGAUGAAAGCAGGGGACCGCAAGGCCUUGCGCGACUGGAGCGGCCGAUGGCAGAUUAGGUAGUUGGUGGGGUAAAGGCUCACCAAGCCGACGAUCUGUAGCUGGUCUGAGAGGACGACCAGCCACACUGGGACUGAGACACGGCCCAGACUCCUACGGGAGGCAGCAGUGGGGAAUUUUGGACAAUGGGCGAAAGCCUGAUCCAGCCAUGCCGCGUGCAGGAUGAAGGCCUUCGGGUUGUAAACUGCUUUUGUACGGAACGAAAAGUCUCCUUCCAAUAAAGGGGGAUCAUGACGGUACCGUAAGAAUAAGCACCGGCUAACUACGUGCCAGCAGCCGCGGUAAUACGUAGGGUGCAAGCGUUAAUCGGAAUUACUGGGCGUAAAGCGUGCGCAGGCGGUUAUGUAAGACAGUUGUGAAAUCCCCGGGCUCAACCUGGGAACUGCAUCUGUGACUGCAUAGCUAGAGUACGGUAGAGGGGGAUGGAAUUCCGCGUGUAGCAGUGAAAUGCGUAGAUAUGCGGAGGAACACCGAUG